AUGGCAGAGAAAACCAUCAUGUUAACAUUUCUUGUUUACCUUAUUCUUUUGCAAAAUUUUGGGUUAAUGGAAGUGUUAGGGAAGAAUUUUCAAGCACCACCAGCUAUACCAAGAGUUUUGUUGAGGACUCCACAAGCUCAUUCUAGUGGCUUUUAUACCAUAAAUGAUGACAAAGAUGGUCAAGAUGGUCAAGGUGAUGCUUUUCGUCCAACUAGCCCCGGUCAUAGCCCUGGCGUAGGCCAUGGUACACCACCAAAUCGUCCUUAA